GCCAUUGCAUGGACUUGUAUGUACAGUAUUGUUUAAAAGUUCUGGAUUUUUGGUGAAUUUUGGUCCAAAAUGAAAUUUGCACAGCAUGUUGUCAAAUUUUUGGGGCAGCUAUUUUUGGAUUUAUCUGAAAUUUCCCCCAUGUAACAAUCAGAGGGACCCUCUACCUUAACUCUAUAACCUCUAAAAAAAGUUAGCAACUAACUCUUUUUCCAGUAUACCUGGGAAAUGUAAAGGAAACAGUGUGGAGAACAUGUUUAUUGGUGAUAGGAUGUUCAGGGUUAAAAUGCUCAGUGUAUUCAAGACAGUCCGGCCCCUUUUCAAAUAACACAUCUUGGUACAAAUAGCCAGUCAAUUUAACCUCUGUGUUGUCUUUUUCAUAGAUAAUUCUGGUGAUAAAUUGCAGUUGAACAUAGGACUGUUUGUCGGAAUAUGUUCUAUUGUAUUCAUAGUUGGGAUCUUCGUUGGUGGAAUAAUUGCUAUUUUAGUAUUUAGAGUUUCUAGACGCAAGUCAAAAACAAAUUUAUGGUUCACACAUUUUGCAUUUAAUUGGGCAAUAAAUCCAACCAGAAAAAACUAGGUUUGUAACAUACAGUACCAGUACAGACCAAGAAAACAAGACACCCAUAUUACAAGAGUUCCUAGCAAAUUAACUGGUUUCUCUCGUCCAAAUUAAACAGUUUCCACAUUAUCCACAGUUAGUGAGAGUGCACAAAUGGUGCAAACAUAACUUUAGUGAGUUCUCAAACUCAUUAAUUAUUCAUAAGAUGAUUAUCCAACCACGAUAUGCCAAUUUCAUCACCUGCUUGUGGUUUGAAACCCCAGUGAAACAUUGGAAUGACGCGCUAUCCAUGAGUUUCAUAUAAUGUCAAACCCUUGAGUUUGAUGUAGCAUCAAACUCUGAACUCAUUUCUUGAUUUGAAUAUCAUUCAAUACCAACAACAUGUGAAAAAUUUGUGAAUACUUCUAUUUUCUUUUAUUCCUAAGGUACAAUUGAGAAGCUAUUUCAAAAACUUGUGCAUCGGGUUUCAUUAUGGUUUCCAAACACUCAAAAACAAUGAAAGCAUUAUCAGUUUUCUUGUGUUUGGAAACCCUGAUGAAACCCUCCCACUUGUGUUUGAAAUAGUAUAUCCUGGGGGGUCACUCUUGAUAUUUCCUCCAUUCUGGAGCUUAGGGAGUGAAUGGGUUAAAAUAUUAGUACUAAUGUUUUGUCAGCUAUUUAGUAUCCUCUGUGAGAAGAGUUUAAAGCAUUUGAGACUAAGCAAAUUUACUUCUAGAUAAAAUAUUUCAAUAUUAUGAAGAGAGAUUUAACGAGGGGCCUUUGCACAUAAGGCCCAGUUGUUUGGAGGGUGGAUUAUGCUAUCAACUUAUAAAUAGCUUUCCUGCAGAUAGAGGUUUAAUCUGUGGAUGGUGUUAUACACCCUUUGAAAAACCAGGGCAAACACUUCAGUAAAUGGUAUGCUUGCCUGGUCAUUUCUUAACAACUGGUUAACUGCAUCUCUUACAUUUCCAAUUUAGGAUUGCAUUACUGAUAGCAUCUGUUUGAACCUCACUGAUGCAAAUCAAAGAUAACUACAAACCUUAAAUACAUUUUUUAAAAAUUAAAAAUUGGUGACGUUUGACAUUUCUCUGUCCUCCCUGAAAAAAAUAACAUAACAUGGGCAAAAAUACGAUAGAUUUUAGUUCUAAUGGUUGUUUCAUCAGUAGAUUCUAUUGCCUAACCUAUUUAGACUGUGGCUAUGUUAAGUGAUUGUCAUACAAUUAUUUAUUUAGUGAAAGAUUCACCAGACUCCUUGAAAAAUUUGUCUGAUUUGACUUGGUAUUUCAUCGCAGCCAAGAGACUUGGGAGAUGCCUAUCAGAAAUCUAAAAAAUAAAUUUGAUUCUCCAAUCAGUUACUUAUAACUGUUUUGGAAUAUCCUUCUGUGAUGGAAGGCUAGGACUGCUACCAUCUUGAAUUUGCAAAGGGGGUGUUGAGUCAAAUGUUUGAGAGUUGAAAGUUAUCUGUAGAUUCUCAUGGACAAUAUUUAAUGCCACAUUAUAAUCAUCAUGUUCAAUUUUUUCACAUUUAGUCGGUAGUAUAUUAUGAAUCCAUUCUCUUAAAGUUUUAGAACGGAGGCUAAUCUGCAAAUGUGAUGCAGGCCUUCUUGGGUGAACCAGAAAUGGUCAUCUCUUCUGAAAAAUGUUAUCAAGAAAGGCAAAAUCAGUGGAAAAAAAGAAAAAAUAUCACAGUGUGUUGCAUAUGCAGUAUUAAUCAGUCUGGAAUAUAUUGAAAAUUGAAGUGGAAAUACCAGAUUUUGGUUUAUCAAUAAAAAUAAAUUACAAAGGUGGAAAAAAGCCAUGUAUAUAUAUGUAAAACACCCAACAAAUAUUUGUUAUUGGAGUAUAAUUUUGAUAAACGUACAAACAUUGGCAACUGUAGUAAUUAUAUUUUGUACAUGCCAAGUAUUAAACAGUGCAAAUGCAUAUGUUACAAUGUAAAGUAUUGUUAAUAAUCAUUUCCUAUAUUUGAUCCAAGGAUGUGUUUCAGUUUUCCUGAAUAACAAGCAGCUUUUCAUGAAAUUUCAAAAAUAAAAAAUAAAUACAAACAUCCAUUA
rnacentral:lncRNA from 1 species